UACAGAGGGUGCAAGCGUUGUUCGGAAUUAUUGGGCGUAAAGAGCGUGUAGGCGGCCCGGUAAGUCCGCUGUGAAAGUCGGGGGCUCAACCCUCGAAUGCCGGUGGAUACUGUCGGGCUAGAGUGCGGAAGAGGCGAGUGGAAUUCCUGGUGUAGCGGUGAAAUGCGCAGAUAUCAGGAGGAACACCGAUUGCGAAGGCAGCUCGCUGGGACGUCACUGACGCUGAGACGCGAAAGCGUGGGGAGCAAACAGG
rnacentral:rRNA from 1 species